rnacentral:rRNA from 1 species
GAAGAGAUUCAAUAUUGCCUUUAAAAAGCAAUGUGCACUUCUCUUUUAGUAAGACGCUGUGAUCCAUUAGAAAUUGGAUCAUACCAAUGAUCAUUCGGCUAUCAAUGGGCCGGCAUGAAGUUCAUCGAUACAAAUAACUAGAUCCUUUAACGGUUUGGUAUAUUGUUUGGUGAGCAUGUCGAUACUCGUCAAUAGCUGUCUGAUGGAUUUUAAAGGUCAUAUCAUUGAUGUCUUUUAGUCAUCACUCAUACGUGAGAAUGGAUAUGUGCCCGAUCAACAGCGGUUAAAUUUGGGAUACCUUUUGGACCCGUCUUGAAACACGGACCAAGGAGUCUAUCUAGUAUGCAAGUAAAUGAGUAUAUGAAACUUAUUUGCGUAAAAAACUUGACUGUUAUGGGAUUACGUGUGAUGCACUUUCGUGUAUCAUACCUCCAUCCCGGGGUAUUUUUAUCAACAUAUGCAGCAAUGUAUAUGGAAAAUAUACCAUGAGCAUACUGGAUAUGACCCGAAAGAUGGUGAACUAUGCCUGAUCAGGUUGAAGUCAGGGGAAACCCUGAUGGAGGACCGAAGCAAUUCUGACGUGCAAAUCG